rnacentral:rRNA from 1 species
UGGGGAAUAUUGCACAAUGGGCGCAAGCCUGAUGCAGCCAUGCCGCGUGUAUGAAGAAGGCCUUCGGGUUGUAAAGUACUUUCAGCGGGGAGGAAGGGAGUAAAGUUAAUACCUUUGCUCAUUGACGUUACCCGCAGAAGAAGCACCGGCUAACGCCGUGCCAGCAGCCGCGGUAAUACGGAGGGUGCAAGCGUUAAUCGGAAUUACUGGGCGUAAAGCGCACGCAGGCGGUUUGUUAAGUCAGAUGUGAAAUCCCCGGGCUCAACCUGGGAACUGCAUCUGAUAAUGGCAAGCUUGAGUCUCGUAGAGGGGGGUAGAAUUCCAGGUGUAGCGGUGAAAUGCGUAGAGAUCUGGAGGAAUACCGGUGGCGAAGGCGGCCCCCUGGACGAAGACUGACGCUCAGGUGCGAAAGCGUGGGGAGCAAACAGG